UUGGUUGCUAUAGUGUCUAUUAGAUUUGAACCAAAUCGUUGUCAUAAAUUGUUGGAGAAGAAAAAUAAAUGAAAUAUUUAUUUUAAAGGUAAAUAUAUCCAUUUAACAUUUCAGGGGA